GUGUCAAAUUUUAUACGGAAUUUUCUCAAAAACAAGAGCAGUAUGUUUUUCACGAAAUUCGUAAUAAAAAUCUGUUUAUUUCAAUUUAGAGGAAUUUGUAUAGUCCCCUUUUAUUUGAAGCUGUGUACAGGAUAUCUUCGAGUCGAGCACUCGCAACUUUCUUGGUAUCAUAUUGGGCUUUUGUACGAUAGACAAUUGACAUAAAUUUAUAACUUGUUGCCUAGUGUAAUUUGCAAAAGUGUUAACAAAAAACAGUUGGCUUUUUCAAUAUAAAAGUAAUGCGAUAUGUACGAUUUGUUAAAACCCGUUUGUACUGCAGCAGCUAUGAAUUAACUAUCUUGGUCGGAAGUGCUGAAAACAAGUUUUGUUAGUCACAUAAAAUUGUUUCCGCUAUUAAAUGGUUAACAAACAUGUGUUCGCAUUUGUUCAAGUUAAUGUACAAGCAUUAAAUUAUAAAAUAAUCUAAUUUAAAUGUAAUGAGAGAAAACAUCAUUAAUUUUGACUACAGUAAAUCCUUUUUGAAGUUUAAUGUACGCAAGAGGGAAAUAAAAUCGCCUGCAUACCAUUAUUGGCUUUCGAAGACCUUUUUUCGCCUAUUCGUAAUCCUUCAAUGCAAUCCUAAAUGGAAUCAAAUCCUAAAAUUGGAUUGAAGAGCAACGCCCACUCUUUGUCACUCCACUCCACUCCACUCCAGUCCACACAUUUAUGGUUAUUUGGCCGUUCCACCCCGAUCCGUGCUCUUAAUGUGCCAGCCAAAUGCUCAAUUGCGGUGUCCCAGGACAUGCCAAAGUGAGUAGAAUAGGGGAUUUCCACUCAGCUUCAUUGUGUUCUUAGCCAAAGUGGCCGAGCCGGGCGACGACGAUGCUGCAAAUGUAAACAGAAGAAAAUGGAGAUUCAAUUACUUAAACGGUGCGAUAUCCCAACUGUAUCUGGGCGCAUGAGGACUUAGCCGGAGGAUACGUAUUUACAAGACAGCUGAAAGAAUGCGACCAUCUUCCUUCUUCCAAGACCUGAGCAGAACCCUGCUAAUUGGUAAACUGACGUACCUGGUAU